CCUACGGGGGGCAGCAGUCGAGAAUCAUUCACAAUGGGGGAAACCCUGAUGGUGCGACGCCGCGUGGGGGAAUGAAGGUCUUCGGAUUGUAAACCCCUGUCAUGUGGGAGCAAAUUAAAAAGAUAGUACCACAAGAGGAAGAGACGGUUAACUCUGUGCCAGCAGCCGCGGUAAUACAGAGGUCUCAAGUGUUGUUCGGAAUCACUGGGCGUAAAGCGUGCGUAGGCUGUUUCGUAAGUCGUGUGUGAAAGGCGCGGGCUCAACCCGCGGACGGCACAUGAUACUGCGAGACUAGAGUAGUGGAGGGGGAGCCGGAAUUCUCGGUGUAGCAGUGAAAUGCGUAGAUAUCGAGAGGAACACUCGUGGCGAAGGCGGGUUCCUGGACAUUAACUGACGCUGAGGCACGAAGGCCAGGGGAGCGAAAGGGAUUAGAUACCCCUGUAGUC
rnacentral:rRNA from 1 species